UACGUAGGGUGCGAGCGUUAAUCGGAAUUACUGGGCGUAAAGCGUGCGCAGGCGGUUCUGAAAGUCAGCUGUGAAAGCCCCGGGCUUAACCUGGGAAUUGCGGUUGAAACUACAGGGCUAGAAUCUGGCAGAGGGGGGUGGAAUUCCACGUGUAGCAGUGAAAUGCGUAGAUAUCUGGAGGAAUACCGGUGGCGAAGGCGGCAUCCUGGACCGACAUUGACGCUGAGGAGCGAAAGCUAGGGGAGCAAACGGG
rnacentral:rRNA from 1 species